AUGAACGCUGGCGGCGUGCCUAAUACAUGCAAGUCGAGUGAACAGACGAGGAGCUUGCUCCUCUGACGUUAGCGGCGGACGGGUGAGUAACACGUGGAUAACCUACCUAUAAGACUGGGAUAACUUCGGGAAACCGGAGCUAAUACCGGAUAAUAUAUUGAACCGCAUGGUUCAAUAGUGAAAGACGGUUUUGCUGUCACUUAUAGAUGGAUCCGCGCCGCAUUAGCUAGUUGGUAAGGUAACGGCUUACCAAGGCAACGAUGCGUAGCCGACCUGAGAGGGUGAUCGGCCACACUGGAACUGAGACACGGUCCAGACUCCUACGGGAGGCAGCAGUAGGGAAUCUUCCGCAAUGGGCGAAAGCCUGACGGAGCAACGCCGCGUGAGUGAUGAAGGUCUUCGGAUCGUAAAACUCUGUUAUUAGGGAAGAACAAAUGUGUAAGUAACUAUGCACGUCUUGACGGUACCUAAUCAGAAAGCCACGGCUAACUACGUG
rnacentral:rRNA from 1 species